rnacentral:rRNA from 1 species
GACUUCUGGUAUAAUGCACCUGGCCCGCAGCUAUUUAGGCUUGUGAGUGCCGGAGCGCGUUUACCAUCCUUCUGGGCCUCACGUCUACCCUUCACUGGGUUGGAUAUGUGAUCCAGAUCUUUUACUUUGAAAAAAUUAGAGUGUUUAAAGCAGGCUUUUGCUAUGAAUACAUUAGCAUGGAAUAAUAAUCUAGGACUUCGGUUCUAUUUUGUUGGUUUCUAUAACUGAAGUAAUGAUUGAUAGGGAUAGUUGGGGGUGCUAGUAUUGGCCGGUCAGAGGUGAAAUUCUUGGAUUCGGUCAAGACUAACUUAUGCGAAAGCAUU